AUACGUAGGGGGCGAGCGUUGUCCGGAAUGAUUGGGCGUAAAGGGCGCGUAGGCGGCCCGGUAAGUCUGGAGUGAAAGUCCUGUUUUUAAGAUGGGAAUUGCUUUGGAUACUGUCGGGCUUGAGUGCAGGAGAGGUAAGUGGAAUUCCCAGUGUAGCGGUGAAAUGCGUAGAGAUUGGGAGGAACACCAGUGGCGAAGGCGACUUCAUGGCACAAAACUGACGCUCAUGGGCAAAGGCUAGGGUAGCGAACGGGAUUAGAUACCCCGGUAGUCCUAGCCGUAAACGAUGGAUACUAGGUGUGGGUGUCGCAGGGCAUCCGUGCCGCAGCUAACGCGUUAAGUAUCCCGCCUGGGGACUACGGUCGCAAGACUGAAACUCAAAUGAAUUGGCGGGG
rnacentral:rRNA from 1 species